CAGUCGCCACGGGAAAACGUAGGGCGCAAGCGUUAUCCGGAAUUAUUGGGCGUAAAGAGCUCGUAGGCGGUUUGUCGCGUCUGCCGUGAAAGUCCGGGGCUCAACCCCGGAUCUGCGGUGGGUACGGGCAGACUAGAGUGAUGUAGGGGAGACUGGAAUUCCUGGUGUAGCGGUGAAAUGCGCAGAUAUCAGGAGGAACACCGAUGGCGAAGGCAGGUCUCUGGGCAUUAACUGACGCUGUGGAGCGAAAGCAUGGGGAGCGAACAGGAUUAGAUACCCCUGUAGUCCCUGUCUCUUAUAC
rnacentral:rRNA from 1 species